GAUAUAUAGUUGUUGGUGUUUAAUUAAGUAUAAAGGUAAAGGUUUAUAUGCAAAGUUAUUUUAUAGUUUGGGCCUUUAUAGAAUAUAAGCUUGUGAGGGGGGUGGUAAGUAAAUUUUAAAAAGGUUUAAAGGUGAGUCAUCAACUCUCUUUUUCCUUUGCAAUACACGUGCCCCACCAAAAAAUUUCUCCCUAAUCUCUUUGUUGCUGCACCAGAAUACUCUUUGUUCUUUCUUUGCUCUUGAAUCAGCAGCACCUCUCUCUCUCACUCUCUCAUAAACAGCCCUCCCUCUUUCACUGAAACCAUAUAUCUCUCAACUUCAAAAUAUUUGCCCUAAGGUUUCAGCUUCAAGGUUUGUGGGUGUUACUAGUACUUAAGUCUAAACUCCUUCGACUGUAGGCUUUCGGUUCCUCUGCUUUCAGGUAAGAGAUAAGUUAUACGAGCAUUUGGUAAGUCAUGAGUUUAUUUUAUAUGCAUUAAAAGGUUUUUGAUUAGAGGUAUGACAUAUAAUCAUGUUUUAGACAAAGAUAUGUUCGUGAGUUUUUGAAACCUUAUGUAUAUGAUUUAAACAUAUUGAUGCUAUUACCAAUUCCAUGAGCAUGAAGUUUAAAGAAAAGAAUGGAAAUGCUAUUAUUAUGAAAUGCUAUGCAAAAUAAGAAUUUUAAGUAUGAUGUAUAAGUAUGAAAUGUUUUCAGGUUAUGUCCUCUGGUGAUUUGAACUUAGCCAGUAGGGGUUAAAUUACUGGUUUUCCACGGAAAAUGUUAUCUGAUUGGCCAUUAAAAGUGUAGAGCUCUAUUGUACCCGCCCUUAUUGGUAAUGGCUAACUUGUGAAGGAUGCCAACCUACCCCCAUGGUUGAAAAUAUGUAUUAUGUUGUGAUCCCGGAAUACCUGACAUUGUGGGGAAUGCUGGAUGCCUAGCACAGUGGUGCUAGAAGCCUCCAAAUAAGUACAGACUUAUCAGAUAUGGACUAACCAAUAUGUUAUAAACAGCUAUAUUAUUUUAUUGAUCAUGAGAGAAUGAUUUUGUUUAAAUGCAUUACGAAAAGUUGAAAGCUCUCAUGAAAAAAAAAUUCCUGAUGAAAAGAAAAGUCGUUCUUUAAAUAUAGAAGUUUAUGAAGUUCUAUUAUGUUAAAGAUAAAGCUUCUGAUGAAAGCUUAUGUUAAAAAGUUAUCAGAUAUCUGUUCUUUAAGAAACGUUAAGUUUUAUGACUAUGAAAGUUAUAAUAUUUAUGAAAAGAAGUUUAUAAAGAAAAGUUUUCUUAUUUGUCAAGAUGUUUCUAAUCUAAUACUAUAUAUAAAAGCAGAAGCUUUUAACCAGGUGUUGACACGUUAGCAAAAAUGCCCCCUUCAAAAACUGACACGUAUAGGGUAAUUCUUUUAAAAAAUCAUACGAUGCGUCUGAAAGACUCUUUUUCAGACGCCAACCCGCUCACCCAAAAAUAAAAAAACAAAACGCAGACCCUUAUAAAAUAGACCAAGCUGCUUAUCCACAAAAAAAAAAAAAAAAAAAAAAAACAGAAGAAAAGGAAAGACAAAUCCUAAAACCCAAAUCGUAUUUCCCGAUCAAGAUUCAUACUCACUCUAAUUUGCGAUUCUUCACUGCAACUCCAUAUACACACAAAUCAGACUAGCGUGUUCCAACCCAUCAAACAGACGAACAAAAAAAAAGCCUCUGCAAUAGUGAAGUCUGAAAAUCUUUGUUCGUCCUCUGCAACAACAGACGAUUUAGAAUCUAUCCCGUCUCUGCUCUUCAACAACAGAUAAUUCAGAAGUAUAUAAAUGUUGGGGUUGAACGAAAUCUACAAAGGUCUAUAUUCAUUCCUCAUAAAAGGGACAUGAUAAGCAAAAAAUAAGAAGGGGAAAAAAAAUUGGCCGAUUGGAAGGUAGCAGGAACAAAUCUCACAUCAUUCAAAUUCUUCAUUUCUCUGUCUCUCACUUUGUCUCAAAAGGAGGAUAUUUAUUCAUCUACCUUAGCUGAUGUUGAAAAAAUUAGCUGAUGUUGAAUCAACAUCUUCAAGUGGAAUUGGUCGGAUUGUUUUAGAUUUAGAUAUUUGAAUUAGAUUUGGUUUUAAUUAUGGUAUUGGGUUUAAAAUAAAUUAUGUAUUGGGUAUUUGUAUUAGAUUUGGUUUUCUUUUAAAUAA